CUUUUGUACUGAUUAUUAGGGUUCUGGGUUAAAGUUCUCCUUUACGAGAGGACAACAGUGUUGGGUUAUUGGUGUUGAUGGAUUCGACACCUCCCUUCCUGCGGAUGAAAUCAAGAAGGCGUUGAAGGAUCACUUCCGUUCAUGUGGAGUAAUCCUUAAAGUUGAAUUGCCCGGACUCACCAGUCCUGCUUCUGUUAUUAUCGUCGGAGAUGACGCAAAUGACAAGGCCUUGGAACUUAACGGAAGUGAAGUGGGAGGACGGAAGCUAGUUGUUACUGCUGAGGUUUGGCCAAUGGUGAAAAUAUCGGAUGGUCCUCUUUCUUUCGGCGCGGCUAAUCAGAUGACGGAGGACUAGAAAGCUUCUUAGACGAAGCUCAGAAUCUCUGCUCUUUGGUGUUUUCAGAUCGUGUGAUACAAUGCAUAAAAUAAUCGUCAAACGCACAUAUAUAUAUUUUGCAUAUA